CAGCCGCCACGGGAAUACGAAGGGGGCUAGCGUUGCUCGGAAUGACUGGGCGUAAAGGGCGCGUAGGCGGAUUGUUUAGUUAGGCGUGAAAUUCCUGGGCUUAACCUGGGGACUGCGCUUAAUACAGGCAGUCUAGAGUGAGGAAGAGGGUUGUGGAAUUCCCAGUGUAGAGGUGAAAUUCGUAGAUAUUGGGAAGAACACCGGUGGCGAAGGCGACAUACUGGUCCAUUACUGACGCUGAGGCUCGAAAGCGUGGGGGGCAAACAGGAUUAGAGACCCGAGUAGUCCCUGUCUCUUAUAC
rnacentral:rRNA from 1 species